rnacentral:rRNA from 1 species
CAAGAUUAAGCCAUGCAUGUCUAAGUAUAAGCUUUUAUACGGUGAAACUGCGAAUGGCUCAUUAAAACAGUUAUAGUUUAUUUGAUGGUCUCUUUACAUGGAUAACCAUGGUAAUUCUAUGGCUAAUACAUGCGCACUUGCCUCCUUCUCUGGAGGGGCUGUGUUUAUUAGAUACAGAACCAACCCACUUUAUUGUGGAGUCUUGGUGAUUCAUAGUAACCGAACGGAUCGCACUUGGCUUCGGCCCGCGAUAGAUCUUUCAAGUUUCUGACCUAUCAGCUUUCGACGGUAGGGUAUUGGCCUACCGUGGCAGUGACGGGUAACGGGGAAUUAGGGUUCGAUUCCGGAGAGGGAGCCUGAGAAACGGCUACCACAUCUAAGGAAGGCAGCAGGCGCGCAAAUUACCCAAUGAAAACAGUUUCGAGGUAGUGACGAGAAAUAACAAUACAGGGCAUUUUAUGCUCUGUAAUUGGAAUGAUGGGAAUCCAAAACCCUUUCAGAGUAACAAUUGGAGGGCAAGUCUGGUGCCAGCAGCCGCGGUAAUUCCAGCUCCAAUAGCGUAUAUUAGAGUUGUUGCAGUUAAAAAGCUCGUAGUUGGAUUUCUGUCGUGGUCUUCCGGUUUCGCCCGUACGGGUGUUGACUUGGGUAGCCCUCGGCAUUCUUCCGGUCCCUUCCCCGCUUCAUUGCGUGGUAGGUUUUUCCGGAACUUUUACUUUGAGAAAAAUAGAGUGUUUCAAGCAGGCUUUCGCCUUGAAUACUUCAGCAUGGAAUAAUAAGAUAGGACUUUGGUUCUAUUUUGUUGGUUUCUAGGACUAAAGUAAUGAUUAAUAGGGACAGUUGGGGGCAUUCGUAU